rnacentral:rRNA from 1 species
UACAGAGGGUGCUAGCGUUGUUCGGAAUCAUUGGGCGUAAAGGGCGCGUAGGCGGGCUGUCAAGUCUGGGGUGAAAUGCCACGGCUCAACCGUGGAACUGCCUCAGAUACUGACGGCCUCGAGGAAGGUAGGGGCAUGCGGAACUGUAGGUGGAGCGGUGAAAUGCGUUGAUAUCUACAGGAACUCCGGUGGCGAAAGCGGCGUGCUGGACCUUUUCUGACGCUGAGGCGCGAAAGCUAGGGGAGCAAACGGG